rnacentral:pre_miRNA from 1 species
AAUAUUUGACGCCAUUAACUUUUUUAAACAUGUUUGUCCGUUCGUCUUAUUCAAAAAAUUUAAGUAAUUAUUAAUUUUUUUCCUAUCAUUUGAUUCAUUGUUAAAUAUACUUUUAUGUAUAUAUAUAGUUUUACAUAUUUCACAAAAAAUUUUUGAAUAAGACGAACGGUCAAACAUGUUUAAAAAGGUAAACGGCGAUAAAUAUU